UACGUAGGGGGCAAGCGUUGUCCGGAAUCAUUGGGCGUAAAGCGCGUGUAGGCGGCCCGAUAAGUCCGCUGUGAAAGUCCAGGGCUCAACCCUGGGAUGCCGGUGGAUACUGUCGAGCUCGAGUCCGGAAGAGGCGAGUGGAAUUCCUGGUGUAGCGGUGAAAUGCGCAGAUAUCAGGAGGAACACCAAUGGCGAAGGCAGCUCGCUGGGACGUGACUGACGCUGAGACGCGGAAGCGUGGGGAGCAAACAGG
rnacentral:rRNA from 1 species